rnacentral:rRNA from 1 species
UACGGAGGGUGCAAGCGUUAUCCGGAAUCACUGGGUGUAAAGGGUGCGUAGGCGGCCUGUUAAGUCAGGAGUGAAAGGCCACAGCUUAACUGUGGGAUUGCUUUUGAUACUGGCAGGCUUGGAUUAGGACGAGGUUGGCGGAAUGUGGCAAGUAGCGGUGAAAUGCAUAGAUAUGCCAUAGAAUACCGAUUGCGAAGGCAGCUGACUAGACCUAUAUUGACGCUGAGGCACGAAAGCGUGGGGAGCGAACAGG